AAAAAUGUUAUGUUGUUGGUUUAAGCCCUAUUACCAUACAAGAGAUCGCGUACUUUGGACCGAAUAAAGCUGUGAGGAAACUACAUUAAAGGAACUCGACUGGCCUACA
rnacentral:sRNA from 1 species